UACGAGGGGGGCGAGCGUUGUUCGGAAUUAUUGGGCGUAAAGGGUGCGUAGGCGGUUUGGUAAGUCUUAUGUGAAAUCUACAGGCUCAACUUGUAGUCUGCAUGAGAAACUGCCGGGCUUGAGUAUGGGAGAGGUGAGUGGAAUUCCGGGUGUAGUGGUGGAAUACGUAGAUAUCCGGAGGAACACCAGCGGCGAAGGCGGCUUUCUGGUCUGAUACUGACGCUGAGGCGCGAAAGCGUGGGGAGCGAUCCGG
rnacentral:rRNA from 1 species